CGAACGGCAGCACGGGAGCAAUCCUGGUGGCGAGUGGCGAACGGGUGAGUAAUAUAUCGGAACGUGCCCAGUCGUGGGGGAUAACGUAGCGAAAGCUACGCUAAUACCGCAUACGAUCUAUGGAUGAAAGCGGGGGAUCGCAAGACCUCGCGCGAUUGGAGCGGCCGAUAUCAGAUUAGGUAGUUGGUGAGGUAAAGGCCCACCAAGCCGACGAUCUGUAGCUGGUCUGAGAGGACGACCAGCCACACUGGGACUGAGACACGGCCCAGACUCCUACGGGAGGCAGCAGUGGGGAAUUUUGGACAAUGGGCGCAAGCCUGAUCCAGCAAUGCCGCGUGCAGGAUGAAGGCCUUUGGGUUGUAAACUGCUUUUGUACGGAGCGAAAAGGCUUCCACUAAUACUGGGGGCUCAUGACGGUACCGUAAGAAUAAGCACCGGCUAACUACGUGCCAGCAGCCGCGGUAAUACGUAGGGUGCAAGCGUUAAUCGGAAUUACUGGGCGUAAAGCGUGCGCAGGCGGUUAUGUAAGACAGAUGUGAAAUCCCCGGGCUUAACCUGGGAACUGCAUUUGUGACUGCAUAGCUAGAGUACGGUAGAGGGGGAUGGAAUUCCGCGUGUAGCAGUGAAAUGCGUAGAUGUGCGGAGGAACACCGAUGGCGAAGGCAAUCCCCUGGACCUGUACUGACGCUCAUGCACGAAA
rnacentral:rRNA from 1 species